UUUUUACCAGUCAUAGCUUCCGGUUUCCUCAAAGCAGUAAGCUGCCAACUCAUCCGUUACAAUCCACGUAUAAAUUCGAUUAACGCUUACACCGCAAACCGCCAAAACCACCACCAUUCACCAAUCAUCUACCGGAUUUUCUCCGCUUCAAGCCGCCGUCGCUACCACUACCGCGUUGACGAGUCAGUUUAGUGUUAUAAUGGAAGCUUCCGUGUGUACCGUCAACACAAAAUCGUGCUUCAGCCUCCACAGCCGCGGGAUUUUGACGAGAUCGACGAUUGGAGUAGGAUGCAGUCUUCGCGCGACGAAGAGGAACGACGCUUUGAGGCUUAGCUGCGGUGGUUCGACUUCAAUGGGGAGAACGGGAGGUAGUAUUCAGAGUUUGUUCGGUUCAUCCGCCAAGGCUAGAUUAGUCAGAGCUCAAGCUUCUGAAGGAGAUAUUGAGAAUGACGCCCCUGUGAAAAUCCCGGUGAAAUCGUCUGGUACUGUGUUGCCAUAUGUUGGUGUUGCUUGUCUUGGAGCAUUUCUAUUUGGAUAUCAUCUAGGAGUGGUAAAUGGAGCUCUCGAGUACCUUGCUAAGGAUCUCGGAAUUGCAGAGAAUACGGUGCUGCAAGGCUGGAUUGUUAGCACACUUCUUGCUGGUGCCACAGUUGGUUCGUUUACUGGAGGUUCAUUGGCAGAUAAGUUUGGGCGAACAAAGACUUUUAUUUUGGAUGCAGUUCCACUUGCUGUAGGAGCAUUUCUUUGUGCCACUGCCCAGAAUAUAGAGACAAUGAUAAUAGGUCGGUUACUUGCUGGCAUUGGGAUUGGUGUUUCUUCUGCAAUUGUGCCACUUUACAUCUCUGAGAUCUCACCAACUGAAAUCCGAGGUACACUCGGAUCUGUCAACCAGCUAUUUAUAUGUAUUGGAAUUCUUGCAGCAUUGGUAGCUGGUCUACCGUUGGCCGGGAAUCCUCUGUGGUGGAGGUCAAUGUUUGGUGUUGCACUUAUUCCAUCUGUUUUACUCGCACUUGGAAUGGCAUUUUCUCCUGAAAGUCCACGUUGGCUUUAUCAGCAAGGAAGAAUUUCUGAUGCCGAAGUAUCUAUUAGAAGGCUAUAUGGGAAAGAAAGAGUUUCUGAGGUUAUGAGGGAUUUGGCUGCAGCAGGACAGGGUUCCACAGAACCAGAAGCAGGCUGGUUUGAUCUUUUCAGCAGCCGUUACUGGAAAAUUGUUAGUGUAGGUGCGGCUCUCUUCUUGUUCCAGCAGCUUGCUGGGAUAAAUGCUGUUGUUUAUUACUCAACUUCAGUAUUUCGCAGUGCUGGAAUAACAUCUGAUGUUGCUGCCAGUGCUCUGGUUGGAGCUGCAAAUGUAUUUGGCACAACUGUUGCAUCCUCAUUGAUGGACAAGCAAGGACGCAAGAGCCUUCUUCUUACAAGCUUUGCUGGAAUGGCUGCUUCGAUGUUGUUGCUUUCUUUGAGUUUUACUUGGAAGGCCCUGGCACCAUAUUCAGGAACACUUGCUGUUCUUGGGACAGUUCUCUACGUAUUAUCUUUCUCUCUCGGUGCUGGUCCUGUGCCUGCUCUCCUACUUCCGGAGAUCUUUUCAUCUCGAAUCAGAGCAAAAGCAGUGGCAUUAUCUCUGGGCAUGCAUUGGAUAUCGAAUUUUGUGAUUGGGCUCUACUUCUUGAGUGUUGUAACUAAGUUUGGAAUCAGCACGGUGUACCUGGGAUUCGCUUCUGUGUGUCUCCUUGCAGUUAUGUACAUAUCUGGCAAUGUCGUGGAGACAAAGGGGCGCUCCUUGGAGGAAAUUGAACGCGCUUUAAGCCCCGCCGUUUGACACAUUUUUCCUAGUAUUCGAUACUCGUUACCUGUAAAAGUCGGGAUGCAAGUCAGGAGCAGGGUUUGCAGUUUAAUACAAAUUGAAGAGAGGGAUUGAAAGAGUUGAUGGGGAACCUGAAAUUUGGAGAGCUGCGCUUCAGUAAUUCCAGAUUUGGGCUUGAAAUUGGGGCGUAAACACGCCGCUGAGGCUAUAGCUGCUUCUCUCCUUUCGUCUGCUUCUUCUCGGCUCUCCCUUUCCAUUUCGCUUACUGCAAUUUUCGAAAAUAGUAUAGAGGAAGAAGAAUGAUUGUUUAAAAAUUACUCCCUGUCCCACGACAAUUGUAACUCUUUCCCAUUUUGAUAUUUCUAAUAAUAAUUGUCUCACUUUAUUUUUAUCAUAAAUAAUAAAUUUGGUCUCA